UUUGUCACUGAUCAUAUUCGUUGCUCAGGGAGACUGGUUUCUAAAUCUGGUGUGC
rnacentral:tRNA from 1 species